rnacentral:rRNA from 1 species
GAUGAACGCUGGCGGCGUGCCUAAUACAUGCAAGUCGAGCGAACGGACGCGACGCUUGCUUUUCUGAUGUUUGCGGCGGGCGUGUGUGUAACACGUGGAUACCCUACCUAUCUUACUGGUAUAUCUUCGGGAAACCGGAUCUAAUACCGUAUAAUCUUCUGCUCCGUGUGGUUCAAAAGUGAAAUACGGUCUUGCUGUCACUUAUCGAUGCAUCUCGGCUUCUUUGGCUGGUUGUUAAGGUAACGGCUUACCAAGGCAACGAUGCAUAGCCGAAGUGUGAGGGUGAUCGGCCACACUGGAACUGGGACGCGGUCCAGAGUCCUACGGGAGGGAGCAGUAGCGAACGUUACGCAAUGGGCGAAAGCAUGACGGAGCAAGGGCGCGUGAGUGAUGAAGGUCUUCGGAUCGUAAAAAUCGGUUAUUAGGGAAGAACAUAUGUGGCAGUAACCGUGCACAGCGUGACGGUACCUAAUAAGAAAGCCACGGCUAACUACGUG